AUUGAACGCUAGCGGGAUGCCUUACACAUGCAAGUCGAACGGAGUGGCGAACGGGUGAGUAAUGUACCGGAACGUGCCCAUUAGCGGGGGAUAACUACGCGAAAGGGUAGCUAAUACCGCAUACUAUUGGAGCGGCCGAUAUGGGAUUAGCUAGUUGUUGGGGUAACGGCUCACCAAGGCGACGAUCAGUAUCCGGUUGGAGAGGACGACCAGCCACACUGGAACUGAGACAAGGCCCAGACUCCUACGGGAGGCAGCAGUGGGGAAUUUUGGACAAUGGGAGAAAGCCUGAUGCAGCCAUCCCGCGUGUGUGAAGAAGGCCUUCGGGUUGUAAAGCACUUUUGGCGGGGAAGCGGUACCUGCAGAAUAAGCACCGGCUAACUACGUGCCAGCCGCCGCGGUAAUUC
rnacentral:rRNA from 1 species